AUGGUUGACGAGCCCCUCGACCCGCCGCCGCCGACGCCGGCGGCGGCGGCGCCUCCCACGCCGCUCCUCCGCCCGCGGCGCGAGGCGUUCGAGCACGGCCUCCUGCCCAUCCCCAAGCUCAUCUUCCCGGAGGGCACGCUGGCGCAGACCCUCUCCCAGCUCAAGGAGAAGCUCGCGCCCGCGGCCGCCGCCGCGGGAGACGGGCGCGUGGGCGCCGCGUCCCUCGCGGAGGCGCUGCAGAUCCCGCCCGACCAGGCGGCGCUCGCGAUCGGCAUGCUCGCGGCGGUCCUCCCCGCGGAGGACCCCGCGCUAGACGCCGGCGGGAGUGGUGGAGGCGCCGACCUCCGCGACGUUCUGCUCUUCCUCUACAUCCAGUCGUACAAGCGCCUCGUGCCGCGCCCGCACAAGGACUCGCCCGCCGUCGCCGACGUCUGGCCAUCCACCUCAGCGUUCGACGGCUACCUGUCCGCUCUCUCUCCGAUCCAGCUUGUACGGAGUAAUAGCCGUCGCUUUAUACCUUCUCAAGCAGAUGAAGAAAUUCACCAGUUAUCUUAUCUGCAAAAGCAUAUGGCUAAUAUUCUCACUCUAUUGGCUGAUUCUGUUGAGGGGGAGGGGGAUGAUUCUCUGGUACUAACAAUGGAGACUUUUGAGCACCUUGGAUUUCUAGUGCAUUUUUCGGAAGGAACAUCCCUAAGCCAGGCAGCCACAUUUUUUGCGAAUUCUGAUCCAGACAUGCCGGCUGCUCCAGUAUCUGCUGCUCAGGUCCAUGAUUGGAUUUUGCAGAAUAUUGUUUCUUCAUUGGAGUUUUAUACUGAGAAAUCUACAGCAAAGGAAGGGAGCCAGCAGAUAGCGUCUGAUCUUGAUGUUACCAUGGCAGAUGCCAAUACAAGUCAUCCAAGGAACAGCACAACUACUGUUGCCAAUCCCACAUUCCAUAGAAAUUCUACAUUUGUGGAGGGUUUCUCCAAAACUUCUGUUGUCAAGCAUGCAUCUGAUGUCAAAGGAAAUUCAGUGAAGGUUUUGAACUGCCAUGAUUCCGUUAUUUAUAUAUUAGCACCGGUGAAGUAUGCUACUGUGUAUGGAUGUUCUGAUACUACCGUUGUUCUUGGUGCUGUCGGCAAGGUUAUAAAGGUGGAGCAUUGUGAAAGAGUGCAUAUUAUUGCAGCUGCAAAACGAAUCUGUAUUGCUAACUGUCGUGAGUGCAUCUUCUACUUGGGAGUAAAUCACCAGCCUCUUAUUGUGGGGGACAACCAUAAAUUACAUAUUGCUCCAUUUAAUACUUACUAUCCAAGAUUGGGUGAGCAUCUGACACAAGUUGGUGUAGAUCCCUCUACCAAUAAAUGGGACCAACCUUUUGUAUUGGGAGUCGUUGAUCCACAUGAUUCAUUGUCCCAUCCUGCUGGGGUUUCUGAUGUUCAAGCCGAAUCUGCUACUUGUGUAGAUCCUGAUCUAUUCACAAACUUUUUGAUUCCUAAUUGGUUUGAGGAUGAAGUACAAGAGCCUACAAAAUGCAAUCCUUUUCCAUUGCCUGAAAUUUAUCAGGCAUCGCAAAGCAAGAAGCAAGCUGUUCUGGAAGAUACUAAAAAAACUAUUCGGGAGCUGCAACUUGACGAAAAUAGGAAAAAGGAAUUAGCAAGCGCCCUGCACUCGCAGUUCAAAGAUUGGCUAUAUGCUACGGGCAACAUCCGCCAGCUCUACUGUCUGCAAGGCGACUAA
rnacentral:rRNA from 1 species